rnacentral:rRNA from 1 species
AACGAACGCUGGCGGCAUGCCUAACACAUGCAAGUCGAACGAGACCUUCGGGUCUAGUGGCGCACGGGUGCGUAACGCGUGGGAACCUGCCCUUAGGUUCGGAAUAACACAGAGAAAUUUGUGCUAAUACCGGAUAAUGUCUUCGGACCAAAGAUUUAUCGCCUUUGGAUGGGCCCCGCGUUGGAUUAGCCUGUUGGUGGGGUAAAGGCCUACCAGGGCGACGAUCCAUAGCUGGUCUGAGAGGAUGAUCAGCCACACUGGGGACUGAGACACGGCCCAGACUCCUACGGGAGGCAGCAGUGGGGAAUAUUGGACAAUGGGCGAAGCCUGAUCCAGCAAUGCCGCGUGAGUGAUGAAGGCCUUAGGGUUGUAAAGCUCUUUUACCAGGGGAUGAUAAUGACAGUACCUGGAGAAUAAGCUCCGGCUAACUCCGUGCCAGCAGCCGCGGUAAUACGGAGGGAGCUAGCGUUGUUCGGAAUUACUGGGCGUAAAAGCGCACGUAGGCGGCGAAGCAAGUCA